rnacentral:pre_miRNA from 1 species
AGUAGAAUUGCUGGGCUAUAUGGUAAUUCUAUGUUUAACUGUUUGAGGAACUUCCAAAAUGCUUCCCACAUUGGCUGAACCAUUUUACAUUCCUACCAGCAAU